CAGGCUCUGGGGUGAUGCCAUGAAGCCCAUCUCUGUGACACAAGAAGAGGUCUUUGAAACCAAGUGGAAGAUCCAGAAAGACUCUCAGUUGAGCUCUCCAUCUGGCCAUAGGCACACAGAAGUGAGCCAUACAUCCAGCCAACAUAGCCUGUCCCCUAGCCAAAGCAUAGGCUUCCUCAAUGUCCUGCGGAAAGCCUUGCAUCUCCCAGUGCUGUGCGGAAGGCAGUGGAGUGAUGCUCUGAUUUGUACCUCACCACAGGAAAGGUAGUGUCACUGAAGUUGGUUGGAAGAUUUUCCCUGAAACCGGGGUAACUGAGAUGAUGGUGUUUUAGGCUCUGAACUUUCCUGGAAUCUGAAGUGCAGCUCUAUGUUCCCUCAUGGACAGUCUCCAAAGCAGCAGUACCUCACUGAGCAGCUGGCAGAACAGCUGGGUGGAUCUGGAACUGCUGAGCAAUCUACCAAGGGAUUCUGGCUUGAGUCAGAGCACCGGGGAGCUCAGAAACCUUGGCUCCUCAGCAGCUCUGACAGGGACUUUAUCUUCCAAGCCUGCUGAUAGAAGCAUUUGGUGAAACCAAGACCACAAGUAGGGGAGAAGGGUCUUCUGGCUGGGGAGCUGUUGAUUUGUGACUAGCCCUGGCUUCCCAGUAUUUUGUCAAAGUGUUUCUGGCUGCCAGGUGAAGUCUGACUCGGACCAGAAAUGUUUGCAUCUAGUGAUUUUUCUCUUUACUUUGUUGCCGCCUUGACUGUCUGGAGAAAGUUAGGGUUCAUUUCUGUCCCACCACUAGCAUGAUCAAAUAGUUCUAUACAUGGUGCUGCAUCUGCAGACAAUCCAAUGGUAAAACUGUGUUAACACCAGGGGUACUAUACAUGUUCUAACCUCAUGUUUUUUUUCUGCUGAUCCUGGAUGCUGGGCGGGAGGUUGUCACACUCAGUACCUGUUUGAAAACUCUCUCCUAUCUGCGCUUUGAAUUUUUAAACACUUAUUUGUGGUGCUUCCACCACUUAUCCCUGCAACUCAGGGUGGCUGAGCAGAAAGGCAUCCACCUCUACUGGCAAGUCAGAUCCAAAUGCUGUGAUGUUUCUGGAUCUUCUCCGAAGUGUUUCUUUGUGUCUAACAUAUCCUGUUGGUAGGCUUCUUAACAAAAAUACCAUGCUGAGCCCUUUAAGCUGGCAUGACCCUGCUGACCCUGAAAGCAGGAGGUUUCUGGCAGCUUGAAGUGAGUGGCCAGCUGA
rnacentral:lncRNA from 7 species